rnacentral:rRNA from 1 species
UGGGGAAUAUUGCGCAAUGGGGGGAACCCUGACGCAGCCAUGCCGCGUGAAUGAAGAAGGCCUUUGGGUUGUAAAGUUCUUUCGGUAUUGAGGAAGGUUGAUGUGUUAAUAGCACAUCAAAUUGACGUUAAAUACAGAAGAAGCACCGGCUAACUCCGUGCCAGCAGCCGCGGUAAUACGGAGGGUGCGAGCGUUAAUCGGAAUAACUGGGCGUAAAGGGCACGCAGGCGGUUAUUUAAGUGAGGUGUGAAAGCCCUGGGCUUAACCUAGGAAUUGCAUUUCAGACUGGGUAACUAGAGUACUUUAGGGAGGGGUAGAAUUCCACGUGUAGCGGUGAAAUGCGUAGAGAUGUGGAGGAAUACCGAAGGCGAAGGCAGCCCCUUGGGAAUGUACUGACGCUCAUGUGCGAAAGCGUGGGGAGCAAACAGGAUUAGAUACCCUGGUAGUCCACGCUGUAAACGCUGUCGAUUUGGGGAUUGGGCUUAGAGCUUGGUGCCCGUAGCUAACGUGAUAAAUCGACCGCCUGGGGAGUACGGCCGCAAGGUUA